CAGACAUAGGUCGGUCAUAGACUUAAGUAGUUAUGAGCCUUUUGUAAACCUAACCCAUUAGACAUGUAACCUCCUCAAGUAUGUAUAUAUAUGUGAUGUAACCUCAUUAUGAAACAAUAAGAAACGAGUUAGUUCUUCACAAGUUGCCGCUUUUCUGAUAUUUUUCCCUUUUUUUUGCUUAAAGUUCUCCUGUUUGUCAUCACCUUUUUCUUAUUUAUAGGAUCAAUCUUUGUCUUAUUCCUCUUCUUCUGCAAACUAAAACAUAUAAAACAAGUAAUUUAUAUAACAUAAUUGUAAAACAUGAAAAAUAA
rnacentral:sRNA from 1 species